GUUUGAUCCUGGCUCAGGAUGAACGCUAGCUACAGGCUUAACACAUGCAAGUCGAGGGGUAGCAGGGUAGCAAUACCGCUGACGACCGGCGCACGGGUGAGUAACACGUAUCCACCUACCAUUCACACGGGGAUAGCCUUUCGAAAGAAAGAUUAAUACCCGAUAGUAUAACGAUAAGGCAUCUUAUUGUUAUUAAAGAAUUUCGGUGUUUGAUGGGGAUGCGUUCCAUUAGAUUGUUGGUGAGGUAACGGCUCACCAAGUCUUCGAUGGAUAGGGGUUCUGAGAGGAAGGUCCCCCACAUUGGAACUGAGACACGGUCCAAACUCCUACGGGAGGCAGCAGUGAGGAAUAUUGGUCAAUGGACGAGAGUCUGAACCAGCCGAGUAGCGUGAAGGAUGAAGGCCCUAUGGGUCGUAAACUUCUUUUAUAGGGGAAUAAAGUGCGGAACGUGUUCCGCUUUGUAUGUACCCUACGAAUAAGGAUCGGCUAACUCCGUGCCAGCAGCCGCGGUAAUACGGAGGAUCCGAGCGUUAUCCGGAUUUAUUGGGUUUAAAGGGAGCGUANGUGGAUAUAUAAGUCAGUUGUGAAAGUUUGCGGCUCACCCGUAAAAUUGCAGUUGAUACUGUAUAUCUGGGUGUANNGANGUANGCGGAAUUCGUGGUGUAG
rnacentral:rRNA from 1 species